AUGCAAGUACUGGCCCAUCUUCUUCAAAUCAGGCCAUUUCUGUCAGUCAUGCACGCCAAGGCCCAUUCAACUAAGUGUGAGAUUGUCUGGAGUGUUAGGAAUCAGGAGGGUGCUGGCGCAACUGCAGGGUAAGAGGUGGAAAUGGUGAACAGUUUCCUCUCUCGUUGUGCUCUCACAACGAAGUACAUGACCAAAUCUGCUCGCAAUGAAAUGCUGACUGUACAUGCAAUUGGGUGGAAUAGAUGCAAGCAUGAUGGCCUUCAUCUUGCAUUGUCCAACAGAUAUGUCAAGACCGUCCGAAAGGCUGAGGCUGAGUCCCAGAGGUUGGAGAAAUUGAGCCGUGAACUUGGGUGUCCUGAGAACAUGGUCCAGCAGUGGGUACAUGACAUCAGACAGUGGGCCACUGAUGGUACAGUAUUGAUGUUAUAAAUAAUAGGCUGUUUACAG